AAGGAAGGCAAGAACUUUGCAAAUAAGAAAGGAAGAGUUGUUACCUUGCAUUUGUCUUCAGCUUUCCAGAAGCUAAGUUUAGUUUGAUACAAGUUAAAUAAUACUUCUUUUCAUGCCCUUUGGUCAAAUAGUUGUUCUUCUGUGCCUGAGUGGACUCGGAUACUAUUCCACGUUGAAAGUAAAACUUAUUUGUGUUUUGUUUUGUUUUGUUUUUAAGGUAGGAGUAAAAGAUACUCCUGGAACUGUUGGAAUGUGUAGGAACAAAAUGAAUGGUGCUAGACUGACAUGUAGGCAUAUUGGUGGAGGCAUUUGUUGUUUUACAGUUUUGUGAAAUGGCAUGUAUAUAUAUUUUUUGUUUAUCUAUCUAUUUAUUUAUUUUUGCUGUGGUUUUCAGAGGCACGCAGUAAAUGAUUUAUCUACCCUACUGAUCCCCUGUGCUGGCAGAGCUGUAGCAUAGUGCACUGACUGGGAAGCCUUAAGUUCUAGGCUGGCCUUGGAUGCUUGACUCCAGAUCCUCGGGAGGAGGGGAGCUAUGAAAAUGUUAUCUGGAGCUGCUGGGUUUUUGGAAUCCUCUUCUGAGAAGGUGGGUGCACAUUUGCAUGCCUGGAAUAGUAUCUCUUUCUUUUGGUAUGAGAGCACAUCCUUUUCAUUAUUAAAAUGGUUAAUCAGUGUUAGGAUUUUCUGUAUUCUUAAAUGUUGAACGUGGUGUUCAUGGGUCUGUCUGUAAUUUAAGUUCUUUCACCAGUGUCCAAGGAGACCGUGUAUGUGUAGGUACUUUUUUCUCUUGUUUAAACAGUACUAUUUUAAAAACAAACAUUAAACAUUUGUGAAAUAACAGUGGACCUUGAGUGCUUUUUGUUUAAAAACUUUUCUCUCAAGAGGAUGAACAAUGUGCAGGCUACUUCAGGAUUUAGUAGUUGCAAGAGAAGGAGCUUGUUUCUGAAGCUUCUUGAUUCACUGGGCCUUUCUGGCUCUACAGUAUCUCUUGGAAGAGCUGCUCAAAGGAGGGAAAAAAGCUUUUUAAAACUACCUCAAUACUUUAUCUAGAAUCUUACUGUUUUUUUUUUGCAACUCAGCAACCACGUUAAAUUGCUCGUGCAAACUUUUU
ensembl:lncRNA